AGAGUUUGAUCCUGGCUCAGGAUGAACGCUAGCGGCAGGCUUAACACAUGCAAGUCGAGGGGUAGAGGUUGCUUGUAACCUUGAGUCCGGCGCACGGGUGCGUAACGCGUAUGCAACCUACCUUUUACAGAGGGAUAGCCCAGAGAAAUUUGGAUUAAUACCUCAUAGUAUAUAUCUUUCGCAUGUUAGGUAUAUUAAAGUUCCAACGGUAAAAGAUGGGCAUGCGUCCUAUUAGCUAGAUGGUAAGGUAACGGCUUACCAUGGCUACGAUAGGUAGGGGUCCUGAGAGGGAGAUCCCCCACACUGGUACUGAGACACGGACCAGACUCCUACGGGAGGCAGCAGUGAGGAAUAUUGGACAAUGGGCGCAAGCCUGAUCCAGCCAUGCCGCGUGCAGGAAGAAGCAUCUAUGGUGUGUAAACUGCUUUUGUACAGGAAGAAACAUCCCGACGUGUCGGGACUUGACGGUACUGUAAGAAUAAGGAUCGGCUAACUCCGUGCCAGCAGCCGCGGUAAUACGGAGGAUCCAAGCGUUAUCCGGAAUCAUUGGGUUUAAAGGGUCCGUAGGCGGUUUGGUAAGUCAGUGGUGAAAGCCCGCAGCUCAACUGUGGAACGGCCAUUGAUACUGCCAGACUUGAAUUACAAGGAAGUAACUAGAAUAUGUAGUGUAGCGGUGAAAUGCUUAGAUAUUACAUGGAAUACCAAUUGCGAAGGCAGGUUACUACUUGUGGAUUGACGCUGAUGGACGAAAGCGUGGGGAGCGAACAGGAUUAGAUACCCUGGUAGUCCAA
rnacentral:rRNA from 1 species